CGAAACCGAUAGCGAACAAGUACCGUGAGGGAAAGUUGAAAAGUACUCUGAAUAGAGAGUUAAAUAGUACGUGAAACCGCUUAGGGGUUAAGCCCGAUGAACCCGAAUAUCUGAUGUGAGAAAUUCAAUACUGUUCCAGUUAAAUGGUGAUAGUAUGCACUUUUCUCAUAGUAAGACAUUGUAAUCCAUUGAUGCUAUAUCUCUUUCAUUUAUGGGGGAGAUGAUUUAACAUACGGACAAGAUGUAUAUGAUUAUUCUAUCAGUGAUGUGUUUACAUGUCAUAUGAAUAAGAUCGUUUUGUACCUGUUUAAAUAGUCGAUGGAUUUUGACUGAAUCAUGCUUGCAAUUUAUUUUGCGUUUCGUGUUAUCGGCCAUAUUUUGGUUGGUAAUAGCAGAAAUGGCAUGCAUUCGAUUAACAAUGCGAUAGAUUUGGGAUACUUUCAGGACCCGUCUUGA
rnacentral:rRNA from 1 species